GGAGUCUGGUCCGUGUCUCAGUACCAGUGUGGGGGACCUUCCUCUCAGAACCCCUACUGAUCGUCGCCUUGGUGGGCCGUUACCCCGCCAACAAGCUAAUCAGACGCAUCCCCAUCCCUUAGCGGUGAACCUUUGCUUUCCAUCAGAUGCCAUCCAGAAAGAACAUAGAGUAUUAAUCCGACUUUCGCCGGGCUAUCCUCUACUAAGGGGAAGGUUGGAUACGCGUUACUCACCCGUGCGCCGGUCGCCAUCUGUCAAAGCAAGCUUCGACAAUGCUGCCCCUCGACUUGCAUGUGUUAAGCCUGUAGCUAGCGUUCAUCCUGAGCCAUGAUCAAACUACU
rnacentral:rRNA from 1 species